UCUAACUUGACUCAGCGGUUAGAGUAUCGCUUUCAUACGGCGAGAGUCAUUGCUUCAAAUCCAAUAGUAGGUA
rnacentral:tRNA from 1 species